CAUAGCAUCUGUUUCAUUUAACACAACUCGCCGGAUAGUCACAAAGCCUUGGAUGAAAUACCGCUGUUCUUAUUAGAGGCACUCUGCUGUUUUAUGAGACAGGCAUUAGUGUCCCCACUUACAGUUCAGGAAACUGAGGCACAGAGCAGUUCAGUGGCAUGAGGUCACACAGCUGCCACAGGACUAAGUCUUCGGGCUGGCCACCUCCCUCAGGAACCUGGGGCUUGAACCAGGUGCCACCCUAUGGAUGGGAGAUGAUGACAAACCGAGAUGGACGUGACUACUU